rnacentral:rRNA from 1 species
CGUUCCCGGGCCUUGUACACACCGCCCGUCAAGUCAUGAAAGUCGGUUAACACCCGAAGCCGGUGGCCUAACCCUUGUGGAGGGAGCCGUCGAAGGUGGGAUCGGUGAUUAGGACU